ACUACAUGAUGUGGGCACGAGCACAACAAAUCUUUGAAUCUCUCCCACAUCUCAUGACAUUGCUCACCAUCAUGCUGACUGAAGCUUGUGAUUGCGCUUCUAAUCUC